CUACGGGGCGCAGCAGUGAGGAAUUUUGCGCAAUGGGGGAAACCCUGACGCAGCAACGCCGCGUGAGCGAAGAAGGCCCUCGGGUCGUAAAGCUCUGUCAAGUGGGAAAAAAAUCUUUUGAUCAAUAGUCAAAAGACUUGAUGGUACCACUGGAGGAAGCACCGGCUAACUCCGUGCCAGCAGCCGCGGUAAUACGGAGGGUGCAAGCGUUGUUCGGAUUUACUGGGCGUAAAGAGCGUGUAGGCGGUUUAGCAAGUCAGAUGUGAAAGCCCUGGGCUCAACCCGGGAAGUGCAUUUGAAACUGCUUCACUAGAGUAUGGGAGAGGAGAUUGGAAUUCCUGGUGUAGAGGUGACAUUCGUAGAUAUCAGGAGGAACACCCGUGGCGAAGGCGAUUCUCUGGACCAAUACUGACGCUGAGACGCGAAAGCGUGGGGAGCAAACAGGAUUAGAUACCCCCGUAGUC
rnacentral:rRNA from 1 species